UNUGAUGUGAAAGCCCCCGGCUCANCCGGGGAGGGUCAUUGGAAACUGGGGAACUUGAGUGCAGAAGAGGAGAGUGGAAUUCCAUGUGUAGCGAUGAAAUGCGUAGAUAUAUGGAGGAACACCAGUGGCGAAGGCGACUCUCUGGUCUGUAACUGACGCUGAGGCUCGAAAGCGUGGGUAGCAAACAGGAUUAGAUACCCUGGUAGUCCACGCCGUAAACGAUGAGUGCUAAGUGUUGGAGGGUUUCCGCCCUUCAGUGCUGCAGUUAACGCAUUAAGCACUCCGCCUGGGGAGUACGACCGCAAGGUUGAAACUCAAAGGAAUUGACGGGGACCCGCACAAGCGGUGGAGCAUGUGGCUUAAUUCGAAGCAACGCGAAGAACCUUACCAAGUCUUGACAUCCUUUGACCACUCUAGAGAUAGAGCUUUCCCUUCGGGGACAAAGUGACAGGUGGUGCAUGGUUGUCGUCAGCUCGUGUCGUGAGAUGUUGGGUUAAGUCCCGCAACGAGCGCAACCCUUAUUACUAGUUGCCAGCAUUCAGUUGGGCACUCUAGUGAGACUGCCGGUGACAAACCGGAGGAAGGUGGGGAUGACGUCAAAUCAUCAUGCCCCUUAUGACUUGGGCUACUCACGUGCUACAAUGGAUGGUACAACGAGCAGCGAACUCGCGAGGGUAAGCGAAUCUCUUAAAGCCAUUCUCAGUUCGGAUUGUAGGCUGCAACUCGCCUACAUGAAGCCGGAAUCGCUAGUAAUCGCGGAUCAGCACGCCGCGGUGAAUACGUUCCCGGGUCUUGUACACACCGCCC
rnacentral:rRNA from 1 species